AUUGAACGCUGGCGGAAUGCUCUACACAUGCAAGUCGAACGGCAGCACGGACCUCGGUCUGGUGGCGAGUGGCGAACGGGUGAGUAAUGUAUCGGAACGUGCCCAGUCGUGGGGGAUAACGUAGUGAAAAUUACGCUAAUACCGCAUACGAUCUAUGGAUGAAAGCGGGGGAUCGCAAGACCUCGCGCGAUUGGAGCGGCCGAUAUCAGAUUAGGUAGUUGGUGGGGUAAAGGCCCACCAAGCCAACGAUCUGUAGCUGGUCUGAGAGGACGACCAGCCACACUGGAACUGAGACACGGUCCGGACUCCUACGGGAGGCAGCAGUGGGGAAUGUUGGACAAUGGGCGAAAGCCUGAUCCAGCCAAUCCGCGUGCAGGAUGAAGGCGCUCGGGUUGUAAACUGCUUUUGUACAGAACGAAAAGGUUUCUACUAAUACUAGGAGCUCAUGACGGUACUGUAAGAAUAAGCACCGGCUAACUACGUGCCAGCCGCAGCCGUAA
rnacentral:rRNA from 1 species